GGGGACUGUCUCCCUGUACAGGUGAACAUGGUCAUAGAGACAGUCCAGAUCGAGGGUGGGAUGGUGGGGACUGUCUCCCUGUGUAGGUGAACAUGGUCAUAGAGACAGUCCAGAUCGAGGGUGGGAUGGUGGGGACUGUCUCCCUGUGUAGGUGAACAUGGUCAUAGAGACAGUCCAGAUCGAGGGUGGGAUGGUGGGGACUGUCUCCCUGUGUAGGUGAACAUGGUCAUAGAGACAGUCCAGAUCGAGGGUGGGAUGGUGGGGACUGUCUCCCUGUGUAGGUGAACAUGGUCAUAGAGACAGUCCAGAUCGAGGGUGGGAUGGUGGGGACUGUCUCCCUGUGUAGGUGAACAUGGUCAUAGAGACAGUCCAGAUCGAGGGUGGGAUGGUGGGGACUGUCUCCCUGUGUAGGUGAACAUGGUCAUAGAGACAGUCCAGAUCGAGGGUGGGAUGGUGGGGACUGUCUCCCUGUGUAGGUGAACAUGGUCAUAGAGACAGUCCAGAUCGAGGGUGGGAUGGUGGGGACUGUCUCCCUGUGUAGGUGAACAUGGUCAUAGAGACAGUCCAGAUCGAGGGUGG